rnacentral:rRNA from 1 species
AGAGUUUGAUCCUGGCUCAGGACGAACGCUGGCGGCGCGCUUAACACAUGCAAGUCGAGCGAGAACCAGGCUUCGGCCUGGGGAAAGCGGCGAACGGGUGAGUAACACGUGGGUAAUCGACCCCUGACAUCGGGAUAGCCCGGGGAAACCCGGAUUAAUACCGGAUGGCCCAGCAGCUCUUCGGGGCGGCUGGAAAAGGUAGCUUCGGCCUCCGGUCAGGGACGAGCCCGCGGCGGAUUAGCUUGUUGGCGGGGUAACGGCCCACCAAGGCGACGAUCCGUAGCUGGUCUGAGAGGACGAUCAGCCACACUGGGACUGAGACACGGCCCAGACUCCUACGGGAGGCAGCAGUGGGGAAUCUUGCGCAAUGGGCGAAAGCCUGACGCAGCGACGCCGCGUGGGGGAAGAAGGCUUUCGGGUUGUAAACCCCUUUCAGGAGGGACGAAGCUACUCGGGUUAAUAGCCCAGAGGGUGACGGUACCUUCAGAAGAAGCCCCGGCUAACUACGUGCCAGCAGCCGCGGUAAUACGUAGGGGGCAAGCGUUGUCCGGAUUUAUUGGGCGUAGAGAGCGUGUAGGCGGUCAGAUAGGUCAGCUGUGAAAACUCGAGGCUCAACCUCGAGACGCCGGUUGAAACCAUCUGACUAGAGUCCGGAAGAGGAGAGUGGAAUUCCCGGUGUAGCGGUGAAAUGCGCAGAUAUCGGGAAGAACACCCGUGGCUAAGGCGGCUCUCUAGUACGGUACUGACGCUGAGACGCGAAAGCGUGGGGAGCGAACAGGAUUAGAUACCCUGGUAGUCCACGCCGUAAACGAUGGGUGCUAGGUGUGGGAGGUGUCGACUCCUUCCGUGCCGAAGCUAACGCAUUAAGCACCCCGC